rnacentral:rRNA from 1 species
UACGAAGGGGGCUAGCGUUGUUCGGAAUUACUGGGCGUAAAGCGCGUGUAGGCGGGUCUUUUAAGUCAGAGGUGAAAGCCCGGGGCUCAACCCCGGAAUUGCCUUUGAGACUGCAUCGCUUGAACAUCGGAGGAGGUAAGUUGGAAUUCCGAGUGUAGAGGUGAAAUUCGUAGAUAUUCGGAAGAACACCAGUGGCGAAGGCGACUUACUGGACGAUUGUUGACGCUGAGGUGCGAAAGCGUGGGGAGCAAACAGG